GGAGAGAAAAGGAGGAGGAGGUCACGGCUAAGGGGAGGGAGGGAGGAAGGAGAGGUCCGUUUUCGGUGAUCCAACUCGGUAACGGAUAAUGAGCCGGUCUUUUAGGAGGUGCCGGAACCGUAAGUUUGGCAUACUCCAGUCGAAUCAAAGGUGACAGGUGGCUUAGAAUGGGUCCACUACUGGUCAAUGCUUUGGAGAGUGCUGAGACUAGCCUCGGGUGAUGUCUUUGGUUAGAUUGUUGUGUAGCUUAUUCGUCUAGAAGUUAACUUAAAUGUUUUGUAAUUAAUUGGAGAAAGUGAUAUUUAUUAUAACUUGUGAGUUGGGGUUUUAGCGUUGACUUAGUUGUAUUUUAUGUGAGAAGUCUUCCGCUAAGUUUUAUUCUGAUUGAUUGUAGAGUGUGAUGUGGUCUUUUGUGUGGAAUGCCACGUGAC